rnacentral:rRNA from 1 species
GACGAACGCUGGCGGCGUGCCUAAUACAUGCAAGUUGAGCGCUGAAGGUUGGUACUUGUACCAACUGGAUGAGCAGCGAACGGGUGAGUAACGCGUGGGGAAUCUGCCUUUGAGCGGGGGACAACAUUUGGAAACGAAUGCUAAUACCGCAUAAAAACUUUAAACACAAGUUUUAAGGUUGAAAGAUGCAAUUGCAGCACUCAAAGAUGAUCCCGCGUUGUAUUAGCUAGUUGGUGAGGUAAAGGCUCACCAAGGCGAUGAUACAUAGCCGACCUGAGAAGGUGAUCCGCCACAUUGGGACUGAGACACGGCCCAAACUCCUACGGGAGGCAGCAGUAGGGAAUCUUCGGCCAUGGACGGAAGGCUGACCGAGCAACGCCGCGUGAGGGAAGAAGGGUUUCGGAUCGGAAAACCCUGUUGGUAGAGAAGAAAGUUGGUGAGAGUGGAAAGCUCAUCAAGUGACGGUAACUACACAGAAAGGGACGGCUAACUACGUG